AUUGAACGCUGGCGGCAGGCUUAACACAUGCAAGUCGAGCGAGCGGCGGACGGGUGAGUAAUGUCUGGGAAACUGCCUGAUGGAGGGGGAUAACUACUGGAAACGGUAGCUAAUACCGCAUACCAUCAGAUGUGCCCAGAUGGGAUUAGCUAGUAGGUGGGGUAAUGGCUCACCUAGGCGACGAUCCCUAGCUGGUCUGAGAGGAUGACCGGCCACACUGGGACUGAGACACGGCCCAGACUCCUACGGGAGGCAGCAGUGGGGAAUAUUGCACAAUGGGCGCAAGCCUGAUGCAGCCAUGCCGCGUGUGUGAAGAAGGCCUUCGGGUUGUAAAGCACUGUCGGCAGGGAGGCGUUACUCGCAGAGGAAGCACCGGCUAACUCCGUGCCAGCCGCCGCGGUAAUUC
rnacentral:rRNA from 1 species